rnacentral:misc_RNA from 1 species
GAAAUGCGAUAAGUAGUGUGAAUUGCAGAAUUCAGUGAAUCAUCGAAUCUUUGAACGCACAUUGCGCCCUUUGGUAUUCCAAAGGGCAUGCCUGUUCGAGCGUCAUUUGUACCCUCAAGCUUUGCUUGGUGUUGGGCGUCUUGUCUCCAGUUCGCUGGAGACUCGCCUUAAAGUAAUUGGCAGCCGGCCUACUGGUUUCGGAGCGCAGCACAAGUCGCGCUCUCUUCCAGCCAAGGUCAGCAUCCACAAAGCCUUUUUUCACCUUUUGACCUCGGAUCAGGUAGGGAUACCCGCUGAACUUAAGC